GACGAACGCUGGCGGCGUGCCUAAUACAUGCAAGUAGAACGCUGAAGCUUGGUGCUUGCACCGAGCGGAUGAGUUGCGAACGGGUGAGUAACGCGUAGGUAACCUGCCUGGUAGCGGGGGAUAACUAUUGGAAACGAUAGCUAAUACCGCAUAACAGUAGAUAUCGCAUGAUAGCUACUUGAAAGGUGCAAAUGCACCACUACCAGAUGGACCUGCGUUGUAUUAGCUAGUUGGUGAGGUAACGGCUCACCAAGGCAACGAUACAUAGCCGACCUGAGAGGGUGAUCGGCCACACUGGGACUGAGACACGGCCCAGACUCCUACGGGAGGCAGCAGUAGGGAAUCUUCGGCAAUGGACGGAAGUCUGACCGAGCAACGCCGCGUGAGUGAAGAAGGUUUUCGGAUCGUAAAGCUCUGUUGUAAGAGAAGAACGAGUGUGGGAGUGGAAAGUUCACACUGUGACGGUAUCUUACCAGAAAGGGACGGCUAACUACGUG
rnacentral:rRNA from 1 species